GACGUAGGGCGCGAGCGUUGUCCGGAUUUAUUGGGCGUAAAGAGCUCGUAGGCGGCUUGUCGCGUCGAAUGUGAAAUCCCGAGGCUCAACUUCGGGCUUGCAUUCGAUACGGGCAGGCUAGAGUUCGGUAGGGGAGACUGGAAUUCCUGGUGUAGCGGUGAAAUGCGCAGAUAUCAGGAGGAACGACCGAUGGCGAAGGCAGGUCUCUGGACAGUUGCUGACACUGAGGCACGAAGGCUAGGGGAGCAAACGGG
rnacentral:rRNA from 1 species